AUGUUAUCAAGAAAGGUGGAGGGAUUAGACCCAAAGAAACCUUAGCAACCCUUUAUUUGGAAAUUUUAAAACUUUUUAAAUUUCCAAAUAAAGAAGGUGCUAAAUUCUACUUGAAAUACUGUUUUUACAGUUUUUUAAGAGAGAUAACGG
rnacentral:ncRNA from 1 species